AACGAACGCUGGCGGCGUGCCUAACACAUGCAAGUCGUGCGAGAAAGUUCCUUCGGGAGCGAGUAAAGCGGCGCACGGGUGAGUAACACGUAGGUAACCUGCCCCCCAGUCUGGAACAACUAGAGGAAACUCUAGCUAAUGCCGGAUGAGACCACGAUCCCUUCGGGGGUUGCGGCCAAAGAUGGCCUCUACUUGUAGGCUAUCGCUGAGGGAUGGGCCUGCGGCCAUUAGCUUGUUGGUGAGGUAACGGCUCACCAAGGCUGUGAUGGCUAGCUGGUCUGAGAGGAUGACCAGCCACACUGGGACUGAGACACGGCCCAGACUCCUACGGGAGCAGCAGUGGGAAUAUUGCGCAAUGGGCGAAAGCCUGACGCAGCGACGCCGCGUGGGUGA
rnacentral:rRNA from 1 species